AAAGGAGUAGGUCCGGUAAGGGCAGAUUUUGGCCUCAAAUUUUAGGUUCAUCUAACGAAAGUUUUUUGACACUUUUUAAACACUUAAGUGUCUAUUUCAAUUGAUUCGAUUAGUUUAUGUGAAAGAUUUUAACUGAUUUAGUCAUUAAAAACGCUCGGAUUCAAGCUUAAAUAAGAAAAAUCUAUCAAAUAUGCCAAAAAACGUCACUUUUCAGAUGGUUUUUGUCAAAAAUGAAAG
rnacentral:lncRNA from 1 species